GAUCCUGGCUCAGGACGAACGCUGGCGGCGUGCCUAACACAUGCAAGUCGAACGGAACUGUUUUGAAAGAUUUCUUCGGAAUGAAUUUGAUUUAGUUUAGUGGCGGACGGGUGAGUAACGCGUGAGUAACCUGCCUUCAAGAGGGGGAUAACAUUCUGAAAAGAAUGCUAAUACCGCAUGACAUAUCGGAACCACAUGGUUCUGAUAUCAAAGAUUUUAUCGCUUGAAGAUGGACUCGCGUUUG
rnacentral:rRNA from 1 species